AUGCUGAUUGCCAGUGUGCUGAAGGCAGUCAUAGCCUCCGUCUGUCUUGGAUCCAGCAUGACCCAGAAAGUAAUUCAAGCCCAGUCUGCAAUUUCUGUGGUGGAGAAGGAGGCUGUGGCCUUGAACUGUGCAUAUGAAGUUAGCAGUUACAAUUAUUAUUUAUUCUGGUACAAACGACCACCAAGUGGGAAAAUGACUUUUCUUAUUCACCAGGAGUCUUAUAAAGAGCAAAAUACCACAGAGGGUCGAUAUUCUCUGAACUUCCAGAAAAUCAGCCAGUUCCAUCAGCCUCACCAUCACAGACUCACAGCUCGGGGACUCAGCGGUGUAUUUCUGUGCUUUGAGAGAUGCCACAGUGAUGUGGGGGGCUGGCAAGGAAACUUUAGUUCAAUCCAUACAGAAUGUGUAG